CCUCAUCUCUCCAGGGAUGGGGCUGAGCCAGGUGAUAUCAUAAUGGGCAGUGCCCAUCCUAGAGGGGAAAGCAGGGUGGGGUAGGAGCAGGAAGGUUGUAGGGGAGAGAAGCUGAGAGAUCCUCCAUAGGAGGGGUCACAGCAGCUAGCGGCACCUGCCGGGGUUGGAGGUGUGGGCUAUCUGGGAGGCGGUGGAGGUCACUGAUGUCUUACAGGAGUCCUUGGUAGGUAAAGCCCACCACGAUAUCCCCUAGACCUCACUAUGUUCCUCUUCUCCCGUAAGACCAAGACCCCCAUCAGCACCUACAGUGACUCCUACAGGGCUCCAACCUCUAUCAAGGAGGUCUAUAAAGACCCACCUCUGUGGGCCUGGGAAGCCAACAAGUUUGUGACCCCGGGCCUGACUCAGACUAUGCAGCGCCACGUGGAUCCUGAAGCCCUGCAGAAGAUGGUCAAAUGUGCUGUGCAGGACUACAGCUAUAAGAGUUCCAUAGCAGGCCACCCCUACUUUCCUGAGAAAUACUGGCUCUGUCAAGAGGAAGUAGACAAAUGCAACCCAUACUACCUAUGUGGUGACCGGUAUAACACAUGGAGGAUGGGACCUUACAACUGUACCAGCUGGAACAAAUAUACCACAUGCCUUCCCCAGCUACCUAAGGAGGCUGGAAUGGAGACAGCUGUUCGAGGAAUGCCCUUGCAGUGCCCUCCUAAGCCGGAACGACUCAAUGCCUACGAGCGUGAGGUGGUGGUGAAUAUGUUGAACUCGCUGUCACGGAACCAGCGGCUGCCGCAGAUCACUCGCCGAUGCGGGUGCGUGGACCCGCUGCCGGGCCGCCUGCCCUUCCAGGGUUAUGAAAGCUCUUGCUCAGGCCGCCACUACUGUCUACGCGGGAUGGACUACUACGUGACCAGAGCACCCUGCACGGAACGCCGCCACCGGCCUUUGUGCUCAGAGCAGCCGACUGUAAGUCUGGCGGAAACACAUUGCAAAUGCGCUUAGCGCAGCGAGGACCGCGGAGACAGUUGUCCGCUGCGAUGCACUGAUUGGAAGAUACCACCAGGGGGCGCUAGUACCAUGGGGACGUCAAAGCUGGCAAGGGAAUGGAGAACCCCAUGAGAGGGCACGGAGGCUGGCAUGGAAGGGUCCACAGAUGGGACACAAGUCACUUCAAGAAGACCGGUGGCCCCCAAAGAAACAACUAUGUCAUCCACCCUGAGUUUGUGUCUGAAACCUAUCCUGAUUGCCACUGCUGGUAGAGCCCAGGCUGGUGGGGACAAGGGGGCUGAGCAGUAAAUAAACUCUUCACCCCAAA